UACGUAGGGUGCAAGCGUUAAUCGGAAUUACUGGGCGUAAAGCGUGCGCAGGCGGUUCGGAAAGAGAGGUGUGAAAUCCCAGGGCUUAACCUUGGAACUGCACUUCUAACUACCGGGCUAGAGUACGUCAGAGGGGGGUAGAAUUCCACGUGUAGCAGUGAAAUGCGUAGAGAUGUGGAGGAAUGCCGAUGGCGAAGGCAGCCCCCUGGGAUGAUACUGACGCUCAUGCACGAAAGCGUGGGGAGCAAACAGG
rnacentral:rRNA from 1 species